UACGGGGGGUGCAAGCGUUACUCGGAAUCAUUGGGCGUAAAGGGCGCGUAGGCGGCCUGAUCAGUCAGAUGUGAAAGCCCGGGGCUCAACCCCGGAAGAGCAUUUGAUACUGUCAGGCUUGAGUAUGGGAGAGGAAAGUGGAAUUCCUGGUGUAGAGGUGAAAUUCGUAGAUAUCAGGAGGAACACCGGUGGCGAAGGCGACUUUCUGGACCAAUACUGACGCUGAGGCGCGAAGGCGUGGGGAGCAAACAGGAUUAGAUACCCUGGUAGUCCACGCAGUAAACGUUGUUCACUAGGUGUAGCGGGUAUUGACCCCUGCUGUGCCGCAGCUAACGCAUUAAGUGAACCGCCUGGGAAGUACGGCCGCAAGGCUAAA
rnacentral:rRNA from 1 species